GAUGAAGAACGCAGCAAAAUGCGAUAAGUAAUGUGAAUUGCAGAAUUCAGUGAAUCAUCGAAUCUUUGAACGCACAUUGCGCCCGCCAGUAUUCUGGCGGGCAUGCCUGUUCGAGCGUCAUUUCAACCCUCAAGCACAGCUUGGUGUUGGGACUCGCGUUAAUUCGCGUUCCCCAAAUUGAUUGGCGGUCACGUCGAGCUUCCAUAGCGUAGUAGUAAAACCCUCGUUACUGGUAAUCGUCGCGGCCACGCCGUUAAACCCCAACUUCUGAAUGUUGACCUCGGAUCAGUUAGGAAUACCCGCUGAACUUAAGCAUAUCAAUAAGCGGAGGA
rnacentral:misc_RNA from 1 species